rnacentral:lncRNA from 1 species
UCUGCUGACUGUGUCUGAAGGAGUCCAAUCUGGGAUGAAAUUAACUAUUUCUUACCUGAAUAUUAAAGACAUGAGGCGUCAUGGUUUCAUUAACUGAUUCGGGAAUUUCAUCUAUGUCAUCAUAGAUGAAAUCGAGAUCGAAGGAUGUUAGAUCUUCCCAUUUGAGGCAGCUUUUGCUGCUCUAUGUUGAUAGGAUGAAGCCCAUGUUCACCCGGCCC